rnacentral:lncRNA from 1 species
UUUUUUUAUUUUUAUUUUUUGCUUUUUUAGGGCUGCACCCAUGGCACAUGGAGGUUCCCAGGCUAGAGGUCGAAUGGGAGCUGUAGCCAACGGCCGUCACCACAGCCACAGCAACAACAGAUCUGAGCAGUGUCUGUGACCUACGCCACAACUCGUGGCCACGCCAGAUCCUUAACCCACUGAGCAAGGCCAGGGAUUGAACCUGCAUCCUCAUGGAUGCUAGUCAGAUUCGUUAACCACUGAGCCAUGAUGGGAACUCCUGUUCGUUUUUUGUUUUUUAAUAGAGCCAUUCCAGACAAUAAAUUCAAGAGGAAAUGAAAGUAUUAUAAGUCACUAUUUUUGCAACUCCUAAUGAUGUAUGUAAACAAUGAUAUCAAUGGCCACUAAGACCAUGAGGAGAGAGGUUCAUGGGGGAAAUUCACAAUGGAUGAAAUAGACGGAUGCCCCCUGAACUCACUGGUCAAUCUUAAUGAGAGAGAGAGACGGAACCAAUCAGAUGUUAUGUUGUUAUGUGUCUUACAGACAUACACAGAGAGAAAACCAACUGGAUGCUAUGUGUCAUCCAGUGGGGCUCACACCACCUAGGAUGCCAUGUUUCUGGGUAGAUCAAUGACAGGGGAGAGGGGAGCUCACUCAUCCACACCUGGGAAGCAACCUGCCCGGUUAGGAGGCUGAGAAACCCUACCAGACAAAUGACCUGGUUUCUUCAUCACAUAAGCAGCAAAGAAAAAAAAAAAAGGCUGGGUGAUUGAUGGCUUUAGAUGAAAAGAGUCAUAAGAGAUACAGCAACCAAAUGCCAAGUGUGGACUUUGUUGGGGUCCUGACUCAGAUGAACCAACUGUGAAACAAAAACAUCUGACAUUUCAUUACCAGUGAUGAGAUUUUUUGUUUUGUUUUAUUUUUUGUUUUUUGUCUUUUUGCUAUUUCUUGGGCCGCUCCCACAGCAUAUGGAGGUUCCCAGGCUAGGGGUCCAAUCGGAGAUGUAGCUGCCAGCCUACGCCAGAGCCACAGCAACAUGGGAUCCGAGCUGCCUCCAUAUGCCGAAGAAGCAGCCCUAGAAAUGGCAAAAAGAAAGAAAAAAAAAAAAAAAAAAAAAAAAAAGGUGCCUAACUCAGACAGGGGACCAAGUCAACACCAAGAGUGGUUAAGUCAUGUUGAUGGCAUGUACUUUUUUUUUUUUUUUUUUUUUUUUUUUUUUUCUGUCUUUUUGCCAUUUCUAGGGCUGCUUCUUCGGCAUAUGGAGCUUCCCCUGCUAGGGGUUUAAUCGGAGCUGUGGGAUCCGAGCUGCGUCUGCGACCUACACCACAGCUCAUGGCAAUGCUGGAGACUUAACCCACUGAGCGAGGCCAGGGAUUGAACCCACAACCUCAUGGCUCCCAGUCGGAUUCGUUAACCACUGAGCCACGAUGGGAACUCCGAUGGCAUGUACUCUUGAUACGAUGGGACGAAACCUCUUCUCCCCUGUGCUCUUCCUCC